UACGUAGGGGGCAAGCGUUGUCCGGAUUUAUUGGGCGUAAAGAGCUCGUAGGCGGUUCCGUAAGUCGGAUGUGAAAAAUCUGGGCUCAACCCAGUGGAGCACCCGAUACUGCGGUGACUCGAGUCCGGUAGGGGAGUGUGGAAUUCCUGGUGUAGCGGUGAAAUGCGCAGAUAUCAGGAGGAACACCGACGGCGAAGGCAGCACUCUGGGCCGGUACUGACGCUGAGGAGCGAAAGCAUGGGGAGCGAAC
rnacentral:rRNA from 1 species